rnacentral:sRNA from 1 species
GCCAGGCCUGGUGGUGCAUACCUGUAAUCCCAGCAGCUUGGGAGGCUGAGACAGGAGGAUCAGGAGUUCAAAGACAGCCUCCACAACAGCAAGGACUAGGCAAAUCAGUGAGAUCCUGUCCCUA